rnacentral:rRNA from 1 species
UGGGGAAUAUUGCACAAUGGGCGCAAGCCUGAUGCAGCAACGCCGCGUGAACGAUGAAGGUCUUCGGAUCGUAAAGUUCUGUUGCAGGGGAAGAUAAUGACGGUACCCUGUGAGGAAGCCCCGGCUAACUACGUGCCAGCAGCCGCGGUAAUACGUAGGGGGCUAGCGUUAUCCGGAAUUAUUGGGCUUAAAGGGCAUCUGGGCGGUAAGACAAGUUGAAGGUGAAAACCUGUGGCUCAAACAUAGGCUUGCCUACAAAACUGUUGAACUAGAGUACUGGAUAGGUGGGUGGAACUACACGAGUAGAGGUGAAAUUCGUAGAUAUGUGUAGGAAUGCCGAUGAUGAAGAUAACUCACUGGACAGAAACUGACGCUGAAGUGCGAAAGCUAGGGGAGCAAACAGG